CCUACGGGUGGCAGCAGUGGGGAAUAUUGCACAAUGGGCGAAAGCCUGAUGCAGCAACGCCGCGUGAGCGAUGAAGGCCUUCGGGUCGUAAAGCUCUGUCCUCAAGGAAGAUCAUGACGGUACUUGACGAGGAAGCCCCUGCUAACUACGUGCCAGCAGCCGCGGUCAUACGUAGGGGGCUAGCGUUCUCCGGAUUUACUGGGCGUAAAGGGUGCGUAGGUGGUUUCUUAAGUCAGAGGUGAAAGGCUACGGCUCAACGUGGGAACGGCCUUUGAAACUGGCAAACUUGAGUGUGUGAGAGGAUAGUGGAAUUCCAGGUGUAGGAGUGAAAUCCGUAGAUAUCUGGAGGAACAUCAGUGGCGAAGGCGACUAUCUGGCACAUAACUGACGCUGAGGAGCGAAAGCGUGGGUAGCAAACAGGAUUAGAUACCCUUGUAGUC
rnacentral:rRNA from 1 species